CGUGAGGCCGCGAGGCCUGCGGAGGCCGGGGCCUGGCGCGGGCGGCCUAGGCCCGGCGGGGCCGGUACUCACGGGGAAGGCUCGGAUCCGCAUCUUGGUGUCCUUCCGGCUGCCCGUCCCCUUGCUCAGUUACAGGUUUAUCUAAGACUGAUGACACAGGAAACCUGAGUCACCUCUUAAGGACAAAACCCACAUGUAUCUAAUAUAACACAAUGGAGGUUAAAUGAAUUAUCACUUCCAAAGGCUGUGACCGAGCAGCCAGCUCAUCCUUCAGGUAGCUGAGGCAGGGUGCCCGCACCGUGACAGUGGGAGCUGUGUGCUGGCACCACGAGCGACCCCUGGGGCCACCUGAGGAAGCAGGAGAUCCAGCACUGCCUAUCAUGGUGCUGUGGGUGAGGGUUUCUGACCCUGUGGGUGACGGGCAGCUCUCUGGAUGUUUUUCCUUACAGAUGCCUUCCAGCAGACAGAUGUAACACUUGCAAAUAAAUAAAUAAAUAAAUAAAUAAAUAAACAAACAUGACCUUUUCCCUUUUGUGAGUGCGCAAGGGCAGGAAAUACUGGGGCACAGGAGAAACAUAAAGGGGUUCAGGCCGAGCUGCACGAGGGCUGGGCAGGCAGCGCCCACCACUGGGCCGUGAUGGGGCACACUAGGGGUGUGCCCAGCUCAGCCAGCAGGCAUCCCGUCUGCCACACUGUAGAGUGUCAGCUCUCAUGGGCACGCGUUUACAUAAUUAUUUGGUAUUGCCUGGGAAAUACAGAGGGUUUUGUGUAUGCACUGGCACCACGUGAAGGCUAGCUAGCCCUCCGUGGCCCGACUAUAGGCAUGCAUCAAGCUUUUAUCACUUCUCCCAAGCCGACUCCGCGCACUGUUUGGCUGGAGACUGAUUUCGAGAAAAACUCUGCUUUAUUGACCACAAAGGCCCAAUAGAGCCUGUGGGGUGGAAAGAGAGGUCAGGAGAAAAAGGCAUCGCCUGAUCUCAGUGCAGGGUGACCCGCUGCGGGACCUGCCACCUGUAGGGCAGAGCGACAGAGCAAAAUGCGCCGUGCCACAGCCGCCACGGCAGUGUGCUCCACCGCCUACAGCCUCGCGAAGGAGUACCCCGCCGCCUGCCCCCUUCCCCAAAAGCUCCCGGCCGCGGGCCUGGCUCGGCG